GACGAACCGUGCAAACGUUGUUCGGAAUCACUGGGCUUAAAGGGCGCGUAGGCGGAUGCAUCAGUCAGGGGUGAAAUCCCACGGCUCAACCCUUGAAUGCCGGUGGAUACUGCAGGGCUAGAGUCCGGAAGAGGCGAGUGGAAUUCCUGGUGUAGCGGUGAAAUGCGCAGAUAUCAGGAGGAACACCGAUGGCGAAGGCAGCUCGCUGGGACGGUACUGACGCUGAGGCGCGAAAGCGUGGGGAGCAAACAGG
rnacentral:rRNA from 1 species